CUAAAUACAAAAAGCCACAACCACCUCAGCUCUCCCCUGUCGGUGGCAUUCAUCAGGUACCGUGUGUUAGGCUGCGACACAUCCAUGGCAUCAACACCUGCCAUGACACACGCACCGUCUCCGUACACCUGGGCCGCAGUGAAUCAAAACUCAUCUUCGUUAACUACGAAUUGCAAUCCCUGAUCUGCGAAGCCAUCUCUCCC
rnacentral:lncRNA from 1 species